UACGUACCAGUAGGUGGCGGUGAUUCACACCUUCAGUUUCUUUCCGACUGGCGAGAAAAAAAACACCAGAAGAAGUCGCGUGCUCAUACGUGCGACCUGUGAGCGCGCGCCGUCAAUGGUAGCAGUCAGGUAGCUAGCUGUGUCCACAGACAUGAAUAGGUGUUUGGAUUAACAUUGAACAAGGAGUAAGGGGAGAGUUCAGGGCCGUGCAGGGUUUAAUGCUUGGAAUGACCGAUAUGAGGUGUUGUUAUUGUGACAGGAGCUUCCGCUGUUUGCUGUGCUUCGGAGGAAAAAACUCCUCUUCACACCUGAGCAAGCGCCUAGCAAGCCGCAGCCCAGGCACACAGGCGACACCAACGUGUUGUGAUGUUGGAACCAACCCUUCAGCAACUGUUGUCUGAUAUUGAGGAAGAAAUUACGUCAGUAUGGAGACCCCCUUUUGGGAAUGCUGUGCAGGUUUUACCUGGCAGCACUGCGUCUUAAUGAAAAUGCUCAACAUCUGCAAGCUACUACCUCAUCUGAAAUGUCUUUCUCCCAAGUUCAAGAAGGGAGAGGGAACAGCUGAGCCUAUCAAAACACCUGAGACCUUCAGUAAGUCUUACUGCAUUAAGACGCUAGUAGUAUGCUAACUUGAUUUCUAUAAAUCCAAAUCAUAUCGGUGUUAACAGUUUAGUAAAAAAAAGUUUUCUUACCCGACAAUGGCAAAGUAAAGUUCUUAUGCAGGGCAACAAACGUGAAUCAAAGCCACUUAAAAAAAUUAAGUGAAAAUAAUAUAUGCAAUGUCAAAAAUCUUUCUGUAACACAGAAAGAAAACCUCAAAGGCAGGAGGUUUUUUCUCUGAGUUCUUUCCCUUCCCUCUUCAGGGAGUUUUAAAAUUCUUCUUGUAUAGAUUGUCUCCUGAUGCUUUGUGUUCCUCUCAACAACAUACGUUUUUAAUAUCUACAUAGUUCAAGUUGCCUUUGAGCACAAACUUUUCUCCUCCUGUCUUCGUAGGACUCUCGACUGUUUUCAGGGUCAAAUGUUGCGUGUUUAUCUGUGUUGUGCAAAGACAGAAAAACGCAUCUCCUUCUCAUUUUGUUUGACCUUUAGCUCUUGGAGUCUUAGAAUCGUUCUUGAAAAGCAGAAACUAUCGUGAAAUCUACUGGCAGCGCAAUCAGUCAUGAGGAUGAAAUAAG